UCUCCCGAGAUCAGUUGAUAUUACACAAUGUGACCAUACAUAAUCUUUGACAUUGGUGAAAAGUCAGACAAAAUAAAUCAGUAAUGAAUAAUUGUGGCCCUUCUCAACCUACUAUUGAUCGAGCUGAGCGA